UACGGGGGGGGUAAGCGUUGUUCGGAAUUACUGGGCGUAAAGGGCUCGUAGGCGGCCAACUAAGUCAGACGUGAAAUCCCUCGGCUUAACCGGGGAACUGCGUCUGAUACUGGAUGGCUUGAGGUUGGGAGAGGGAUGCGGAAUUCCAGGUGUAGCGGUGAAAUGCGUAGAUAUCUGGAGGAACACCGGUGGCGAAGGCGGCAUCCUGGACCAAUUCUGACGCUGAGGAGCGAAAGCCAGGGGAGCAAACGGG
rnacentral:rRNA from 1 species